rnacentral:piRNA from 1 species
UAAAAAAGAGGGGCCUCAAGAUUUGGUGAGC